GGGCUCACACAAGCGGUGGAGCAUGUUGUUUAAUUCGAUGCAACGCGAAGAACCUUACCUGGGCUUGACAUUCAUGUGGUACCAAACCGAAAGGGGCGGGACCGUCUUUUGGCGGAGCAUGAACAGGUAUUGCAUGGCUGUCGUCAGCUCGUGUCGUGAGAUGUUGGGUUAAGUCCCGUAACGAGCGCAACCCUUAUCCUUAGUUGCCAGCACAUAAUGGUGGGGACUCUAGGGAGACUGCCGGUGUCAAACCGGAGGAAGGCGGGGACGACGUCAAGUCAUCAUGGUCCUUACGCCCAGGGCCACAAACGUGCUACAAUGGUCGGUACAAUGAGCAGCAAAGCCGUGAGGUGGAGCAAAUCUCAAAAAGCCGGCCCCAGUUCGGAUUGAAGGCUGCAAUUCGCCUUCAUGAAGUCGGAAUCGCUAGUAAUCG
rnacentral:rRNA from 1 species